CAAUAGCGUAUAUUUAAGUUGCUGCAGUUAAAAAGCUCGUAGUUGGAUUUCGGGUGGGAAUGGCCGGUCCGCCGUUUCGGUGUGCACUUGCUACGCCCACCUUGCUGCCGGGGACGUGCUCUUGAGUUCACGCUCGGGACACGGAGUCGGCGAGGUUACUUUGAGUAAAUUAGAGUGUUCAAAGCAGGCCUACGCUCUGAAUACAUUAGCAUGGAAUAACCCGAUAGGACUCUGGCCUAUCUUGUUGGUCUGUAGGACCGGAGUAAUGAUUAAGAGGGACAGUCGGGGGCAUUCGUAUUUCAUUGUCAGAGGUGAAAUUCUUGGAUUUAUGAAAGACGAACUACUGCGAAAGCAUUUGCCAAGGAUGUUUUCAUUAA
rnacentral:rRNA from 1 species